rnacentral:rRNA from 1 species
GCAGUAGCCGCGGGAAUACGAAGGGGGCUAGCGUUGUUCGGAUUUACUGGGCGUAAAGCGCACGUAGGCGGACUUUUAAGUCAGGGGUGAAAUCCCGGGGCUCAACCCCGGAACUGCCUUUGAUACUGGAAGUCUUGAGUAUGGUAGAGGUGAGUGGAAUUCCGAGUGUAGAGGUGAAAUUCGUAGAUAUUCGGAGGAACACCAGUGGCGAAGGCGGCUCACUGGACCAUUACUGACGCUGAGGUGCGAAAGCGUGGGGAGCAAACAGGAUUAGAUACCCGGGUAGUCCCUGUCUCUUAUAA